UCCAUAGGUUAAUGAGGCGAACCGGGGGAACUGAAACAUCUAAGUACCCCGAGGAAAAGAAAUCAACCGAGAUUCCCCCAGUAGCGGCGAGCGAACGGGGAGGAGCCCAGAGCCUGAAUCAGCAUGUGUGUUAGUGGAAGCGUCUGGAAAGGCGCGCGAUACAGGGUGACAGCCCCGUACACAAAAGCGCAUGUGCUGUGAGCUCGAUGAGUAGGGCGGGACACGUGGUAUCCUGUCUGAAUAUGGGGGGACCAUCCUCCAAGGCUAAAUACUCCUGACUGACCGAUAGUGAACCAGUACCGUGAGGGAAAGGCGAAAAGAACCCCGGCGAGGGGAGUGAAAAAGAACCUGAAACCGUGUACGUACAAGCAGUGGGAGCACCCUUCGGGGUGUGACUGCGUACCUUUUGUAUAAUGGGUCAGCGACUUAUAUUCUGUAGCAAGGUUAACCGUAUAGGGGAGCCGGAGGGAAACCGAGUCUUAAUUGGGCGUUAAGUUGCAGGGUAUAGACCCGAAACCCGGUGAUCUAGCCAUGGGCAGGUUGAAGGUUGGGUAACACUAACUGGAGGACCGAACCGACUAAUGUUGAAAAAUUAGCGGAUGACCUGUGGCUGGGGGUGAAAGGCCAAUCAAACCGGGAGAUAGCUGGUUCUCCCCGAAAGCUAUUUAGGUAGCGCCUCGUGAAUUCAUCUCCGGGGGUAGAGCACUGUUUCGGCUAGGGGGCCAUCCCGGCUUACCAACCCGAUGCAAACUGCGAAUACCGGAGAAUGUUAUCACGGGAGACACACGGCGGGUGCUAACGUCCGUCGUGAAGAGGGAAACAACCCAGACCGCCAGCUAAGGUCCCAAAGUCAUGGUUAAGUGGGAAACGAUGUGGGAAGGCCCAGACAGCCAGGAUGUUGGCUUAGAAGCAGCCAUCAUUUAAAGAAAGCGUAAUAGCUCACUGGUCGAGUCGGCCUGCGCGGAAGAUGUAACGGGGCUAAACCAU
rnacentral:rRNA from 1 species